GAUGAACGCUGGCGGCGUGCCUAAUACAUGCAAGUCGAGCGAACGGACGAGAAGCUUGCUUCUCUGAUGUUAGCGGCGGACGGGUGAGUAACACGUGGAUAACCUACUUAUAAGACUGGGAUAACUUCGGGAAACCGGAGCUAAUACCGGAUAAUAUUUUGAACCGCAUGGUUCAAAAGUGAAAGACGGUCUUGCCGUCACUGAUAGAUGGAUCCGCGCUGCAUUAGCUAGUUGGUAAGGUAACGGCUUACCAAGGCAACGAUGGAUAGCCGACCUGAGAGGGAGAUCGGUCACACAGGAACUGAGAAACGGCACAGGCGCAAACGGGAGGCAGCAGUAGAGAAUGUUGCGAGAAGGGGGGAAGCCGGACGGAGCAACGCCGCGGGAGUGAUGAAGCUCCCAGAAGCGGAAAACUCUCUGAAGAGGGUAGAGCAUAUGUGGGAGAAGCCGUGAGCAUCUUGUCGGUACGUGUUCAGAAAGCCACGGCGAACUGGAU
rnacentral:rRNA from 1 species